rnacentral:lncRNA from 1 species
ACAUGGCUAUGAUGCUCCCCCACUUCUUCUGCUCGUGAUCAGAGAUGCACAUAUCGUCAGCCACUAAGGGACAUGCUCAACUGGUUAAAGUCAAACAACUGACAAGCAAAUCUGUGGUAUUGAGCAGAAUGUCUGCUGUAAUCCAUCUUUUAUACCAAGACAAAACAAUGUACAUGAUAACACUUCCAAUCAGUUAAGAUCAGAAGCCAUGAGAGCCACUGCCUGGUACUGCAUCAGGGCAUAUUCAAACCCCAAAGAAUCCCUCUCAACACAUGGCUAUGAUGCUCCCCCACUUCUUCUGCUCGUGAUCAGAGAUGCACAUAUCGUCAGCCACUAAGGGACAUGCUCAACUGGUUAAAGUCAAACAACUGACAAGCAAAUCUGUGGUAUUGAGCAGAAUGUCUGCUGUAAUCCAUCUUUUAUACCAAGACAAAACAAUGUACAUGAUAACACUUCCAAUCAGUUAAGAUCAGAAGCCAUGAGAGCCACUGCCUGGUACUGCAUCAGGGCAUAUUCAAACCCCAAAGAAUCCCUCUCAACACAUGGCUAUGAUGCUCCCCCACUUCUUCUGCUCGUGAUCAGAGAUGCACAUAUCGUCAGCCAUAUCAUUAUUAUUAUUAUUAUUAUUAUUAUUAUUAUUAUUAUUAUUAUUAUUAUUAUUAUUAUUAUUAUUGCAAGGGUAUUGCAUUGGGAUAUUCAGCAAAGAGCCAGGUACAGCGUUUUGCAGUAUAUUUUCAGUUCAUAAGCUGUCGAUAGCUACAUUGUUUUUUGUUUUUUUUGUGUUUUUUUUUUUCAUUAUUAUUAUUCAUCUGAGGUCGAUAAAAUCGGUUGCCACCCUCCCUCACUAUUAGUAUCCCUACACCAAUCAAUAUCGGAGUUCACUUUCAUUAUUCUGGAGUUCGCAAGCCAGCGAAGUCGUUAGCACGCCGGACAAAAUAUUUAGCGGCAUUUCGUUCGUCUUUACAUUCUGAGUUCAAAUUUCAACGAGGUCGACUUUUGCCCUUCAUCUUUUCGGUGGUCAAUAAAAUAAUCACCUAGCAAGCAUUGGGGUCGGUGCAAUCAACUUGUCGCCUCCCACGAAAUUGCUGGCCUUGUGCCUAUAGUGGAAAGUAUUAUUCUGGAGUCGAUAUCAUAAAUACUAAUUACGUACAGGGGGAGGGGAUCAUUCGACUCGAUCCUCUCGCAAGCUGUUUAAUCAUGUAACUGUAUUUCUAUCUUCUAUCUUUUACUUGUUACAGCCAUUGGACUGCGGCAAUUCUGGAGCAUCGCCGUGAAUGAACGCUUUAAUCGAACACCCCACCCCCUCAGUGCUUAUUUUUUAAAGUCUGGUGCUUAUCGGUCUCUUUGCCGAACUUACGGGUAUGUAAACAAACACCUGCUUGUCAAGCACGGCGAAGCAGGCCAAACAACCACACAUAUAUUAUAUGAUGUGCUUCCGUCUACCAAAUUCACUCACAAGACAUUAGUCGUCCCGGGUCUAUAGUAGAAAUUACUUGCCCAAGAUGACACGCAGCGGGACUAAACCAGAACCACGUAGCUGCAAUGCAAGCUUUUUAACAACGCAACUAUGCUUGUGUCUUGGAAAUAUUAUUCAAACUUCUUUGCGGUAUAUAUUUACCUCCCUUUAAGUUGUCGGUAUUGAGUGAAGUGAAAGAGUUAGUUGCGAAAAUAGCUCGUAAUAUGUACAGCGUACAAUAUUGAAUCCCAACAGAAAUGUCUACAUUUUAGAAGCCACUUUAAUCCUUUUGCUCCACUGUAGAUUCUUAUUGCGGAAGGUGAAAUUUCAACAAGUAGUCUGGGCCAAGUAUAUUGUUUGAAAAAUACAAAGGUCAGAUGUCAUUCCUAGGCUUUAGGUUCAUGUGGCCGGUUUCCUGGAUUCUGUGGUGUCUAUACUUCCCACUGGAUAGGACGCCAGUUCAUGGCAAAUUACUCACUUUUGUCUCUGAGUGGACUGGAGCAACAUGAAAUGAAAAUGUUUUGCUCACGGACAUAACGCAUAGCCUGAUCCAGGAAUCGAAACAACAAUCUUAUAAUCAUGAGUGCAACAGCCUAACCACUAACCCACACGCAUCCACAAGGAUAUCGUUGUUUUAUAUAAUCAGAGGCUGUGGUUGACAAUUAGUAAAAUUUGCCCCACUAAUUUCCUUAUUAAUGAUUUCUAAUUUAGCAAAAUGAAAAUUUUGGAGAGAGGUGUUUAGUCAACCAUAUCAACCCCAUUUCUUGAUUAUUUUAGUUUGUCGACCUUGGGGUGGGGUGAAAGGCAAAGUAGUUCAGCAGAAUCCGAACUCAGAACAUAAAUCAUUCAUUCCGUUGAUCUAACCAUUCUUCUUAAAUGUUUCUGACUUAGGCACAAUGCCAGCCAUUUUGAAGUGAGGGUGUUAGUCAACACCAACGAACCAUGUGUGUGACAAAUACUUUAUUUUAUCGACCCUAUGACGAAGAAAGGCAAAUUUAACCUCAGCAGGAAUUCAACUCAUAGCAUGAAGAAUGUGAAAAAAUA